rnacentral:lncRNA from 1 species
UCCACUUUCCUCCUCAGGCAUCGUCUUUGCCAUGCCCCUCAAACAAGAUGGCUGAGAGCCAUCCGAUGUAAACAGGGAACAAAGUUGAGGAGGAGAUUGGAAAGGGAACUUCCUGAAAUAGCUGCAGCAGACCAUCAGCGGAACAAGUUAAGCCUGAUGCAGCUCUGAUGGUGUCAUGAAUUCCCCACACAGUGACCUUGAAGGGCUACCAUUCUUCAUGAUCAGACUCCAGCUGGCACGAUUUUCCUACUGCCUGUAGGACCCUGUGCCUCUGGACUGGUUCAACAAAUUCAAAGCUAGAAAGACCAGAAGCUCUUAGUUUAACCAGAACACAGUGAAGUCUGGCAUGUUUCCACCCCCC